AGCGAACGCUGGCGGCAGGCUUAACACAUGCAAGUCGAACGGACCCUUCGGGGUUAGUGGCGGACGGGUGAGUAACACGUGGGAACGUGCCCUUAGGUUCGGAACAACACAGGGAAACUUGUGCUAAUACCGGAUGUGCCCUUCGGGGGAAAGAUUUAUCGCCUUUGGAGCGGCCCGCGUCUGAUUAGCUAGUUGGUGAGGUAAAGGCUCACCAAGGCUACGAUCAGUAGCUGGUCUGAGAGGAUGGCCAGCCACAUUGGGACUGAGACACGGCCCAAACUCCUGCGGGAGGCAGCAGUGGGGAAUCUUGCGCAAUGGGCGAAAGCCUGACGCAGCCAUGCCGCGUGGGUGAUGAAGGUCUUAGGAUUGUAAAAUCCUUUCACCGGUGAAGAUAAUGACUGUAGCCGGAGAAGAAGCCCCGGCUAACUUCGUGCCAGCCGCCGCCGUAACAC
rnacentral:rRNA from 1 species